rnacentral:lncRNA from 1 species
CCAUCGCUGCACCGAGCGCCUCGGGGCUCAGCCUCUGCGUGUCGGGGCCAUCACUGCACCGAGCGCCUCGGGGCUCAGCCUCCGUGUGCCCAGGGCCAUCGCUGCACCGAGCGCCUCGGGGCUCAGCCUCCGCCUGCCAGGGGCCAUCGCUGCACCGAGCACCUCGGGGCUCAGCCCUCAGGGCUCAGCCUGCCGCGGUCAUCAGUGCACCGAGCGCCUCGGGGCUCAGCCUCUGUCUGCCAGGGGCCAUCGCUGCACCGAGCACCUCGGGGCUCAGCCCUGGGGCUCAGCACGCCGGGGGGCAUCGCUGCACCAAACGCCUCGGGGCUCAGCCUUCGCGUGCCCAGGGCCAUCGUUGCACCAAGAGCUUCGAGGCUCAGCCUCCACGUGCUCAGGCCCAUCGCUGCACCGAGCACCUCGGGGCUCAGCCUCUGUCUGCCAGGGCCAUUGCUGCACUGAGCGCCUCAGGGCUCAGCCCUCGGGGCUCAGCCUGCCAGGGCCAUCAGUGCACCAAGCGCCUCGGGGCUCAGCCUGCCAGGGCCAUCAGUGCACUGAGCACCUCGGGGCUCAGCCCUCGGGGCUCAGCCUGCCAGGGGCCAUCGCUGCACCAAGUGCCUCAGGGCUCAGCCUCCGUGUGCCAGGGGCCAUCACUGCACUGAGUGCAUCAGGGCUCAGCCUCUGCCUGCCAGGGGCCAUCGCUGCACCGGGCGCCUCGGGGCUCAGCCUUCGUGUGCUGGGAGCCACUGCUACACCGAACGCCUCGGGGCUCAGCCUCUGCGUGUCGGGGCCAUCGCUGCACCGAGCGCCUCAGGGCUCAGCCCUCGGGGCUCAGCCUGCCGCGGUCAUCAGUGCACCAAGUGCCUCGGGGCUCAGCCUCUGCCUGCUGGGGCCAUCGCUGCACCGAGCGCCUUGGGGCUCAGCCCUUGGGGCUCAGCCUGCCAAGGUCAUCGCUGCACUGAGCACCUCGGGGCUCAGCCUUUGCCUGCCUGGGGCCACUGCUGCACCGAGCACCUCAGGGCUCAGCCCCUGGGGCCCGGCCUGCCAGGGCCAUCACUGCACUGAGCACCUUGGGGCUCAGCCUCUGCCUGCCAGGGGCCAUCACUGCACCGAGCGCCUCGGGGCUCAGCCUUCAUGUGCCGGGAGCCACUGCUACACCGAGCACCUCAGGGCUCAGCCCUCAGGGCUCAGCCUGCUGCGGUCAUCAGUGCACCGAGUGCCUCGGGGCUCAGCCUCUGCCUGCUGGGGCCAUCGCUGCACCGAGCGCCUCGGGGCUCAGCCCCUGGGGCUCGGCCUGCCAGGGCCAUCACUGCACUGAGCACCUCGGGGCUCAGCCCUCAGGGCUCAGCCUGCCGCGGUCAUCAGUGCACCGAGCGCCUCGGGGCUCAGCCUCCACCUGCCAGGGGCCAUCGCUGCACCGAGCGCCUCGGGGCUCAGCCUCUGUGUGUCGGGGCCAUCNNNNNNNNNNNNNNNNNNNNNNNNNNNNNNNNNNNNNNNNNNNNNNNNNNNNNNNNNNNNNNNNNNNNN